rnacentral:tmRNA from 1 species
AGGCUUCAAAUCGGGACUGCGAUGGCCUAUAUUGGCAAUUGCCGCCUCACCGCGGCUAUGGCGAUAAAUGACGACCGCAAUAAACCAUUCGGACCCGGGGGCGGUACCCGGCGCCUCCACCUGGAACCGGACCCGCCGGUUCCAGGUGGGGGCGAAAUAGGAUCGACGAGGGCGUAAAGGGUUUGUUUUUGCCCGGCA